AGUGAAUUGAACUUGGUCAAGUUGUUGCUGGCUCUCUCAGAGCAUGUGCACACUUGGCUCUUGUUUCUUAAACCCCCUUGGGGACCUUUUGGAAAACUUGGAAAAAUUUGAAUCCAAAAUGGACCUGGCCCCUAACCCUCCCAAUCCAAGUCCUUUUCCAAACCAUUUAAUCCGGGGAAAAAAAUGGUUUCCAAGGGAUUAAUAAAGGCCUUAAAUCCAAAACCACUUUCAACCACGGAACCCCUGGCUCCCCCCUCCAUGGAAAACCCCACCAAAUGGCAUAAAUAAUGGGAAUUGGCAAAUUUCAUUGAAUCUUCAAUCCUUUAACGCCCCCUUGCCUCCCUGGUAUUUCCAAGAACCUGGCCGGUUGAAUGGCCUGAAAUUCCCCACCUUUGUUACUUUUUUUUGUUUCAAAGAGUCUGGAAGUGGAGGUUGCUGGCUUUUGUUGAAAGAGUCGGCUCCUCUGAAAUACAUUAGUGGGACCCAUCGUUGAUUAGCUCCCUGGUGUGAUAGUUAUCUACGCCGUGGCUCAUCACGAUAUUGUGUGGUUCAGCUUUCUAACGAGACAACAACAACUGUCUUUGAUUAUUUUGACCUCAAAUCAGGUAGGACUACCCGCUGAACUUAAGCAUAUCAAUAAGCGGAGGAAAAGAAACUAACAAGGAUUCCCCUAGUAACUGCGAGUGAAGCGGGAAGAGCUCAAAUUUAAAAUCUGACAGUCUUUGGCUGUUCGAGUUGUAAUCUAGAGAAGUGUUAUCCGCGCUGGACCGUGUACAAGUCUCCUGGAAUGGAACAUCAUAGAGGGUGAGAAUCCCGUCUUUGACACGGACUACCAGGGCUUUUGUGAUACGCUCUCAAAGAGUCGAGUUGUUUGGGAAUGCAGCUCUAAAUGGGUGGUAAAUUCCAUCUAAAGCUAAAUAUUGGCGAGAGACCGAUAGCGAACAAGUACCGUGAGGGAAAGAUGAAAAGAACUUUGGAAAGAGAGUUAAACAGUACGUGAAAUUGUUGAAAGGGAAACGCUUGAAGUCAGUCGCAUUGGCUAGGGAUCAACCUUGCUUCUUUGCUUGGUGUACUUCCUAGUUGAUGGGCCAGCAUCAAUUUUGACCAGUGGAUAAAGGUCAAGGGAAUGUGGCAUCUCUGGAUGUGUUAUAGCCUUUGAUUGUAUACAUUGGUUGGGAUUGAGGAACUCAGCACGCCACA
rnacentral:rRNA from 1 species